UUAUACCACACAACGAAGACUAAGUGGCACGUUGGGCUGAAUAUUAAUGAGCUGUUCCACCUAAGAGUGGACCACACUGUGCAUGGCACUGCAACUAGUGCUUUGGGCAAAAGACGUGUGGACGAAGCUUACAGACAUUAGACAUUGUCUGUUGCACUGAAGACCAAGUCGAAGACUAUGGUGAAGACUACAUAUUAUCUGAUGAAGACUACAUAUCUUCACGAAACUGAAGACUACAGCGACAACUGCAAAGCAAGCAGCCCCACAUCAGUGUCCUUGAUGAGUGAGGUACGUAUUGCUUCAGGCAUAUCUAGGAGGGCCCAGAAGCCUGUGUCCAAAGUGAUGAACAAUUCUUAUAGUGACACUUCAUCACAGCUUGGCUA